CCUACGGGUGGCUGCAGUGGGGAAUAUUGGACAAUGGGCGAAAGCCUGAUCCAGCCAUGCCGCGUGUGUGAAGAAGGCCUUCGGGUUGUAAAGCACUUUCAGUGGGGAAGAAAGCCUUGGGGCUAAUACCCUCGAGGAAGGACAUCACCCACAGAAGAAGCACCGGCUAACUCCGUGCCAGCAGCCGCGGUAAUACGGAGGGUGCGAGCGUUAAUCGGAAUUACUGGGCGUAAAGCGCGCGUAGGCGGUCUGAUAAGCCGGUUGUGAAAGCCCCGGGCUCAACCUGGGAACGGCAUCCGGAACUGUCAGGCUAGAGUGCAGGAGAGGAAGGUAGAAUUCCCGGUGUAGCGGUGAAAUGCGUAGAGAUCGGGAGGAAUACCAGUGGCGAAGGCGGCCUUCUGGACUGACACUGACGCUGAGGUGCGAAAGCGUGGGUAGCAGACAGGAUUAGAUACCCUGGUAGUC
rnacentral:rRNA from 1 species